rnacentral:misc_RNA from 1 species
UCAGUCCAGAAUUGGCUCUGGUAACUAUUGGUGGAGGAAAGGAACUUGAAGAAAAACUUGUGGUUCGACCAACUAGUGAAACCAUAGUGAAUCACAUGUUUACUCAGUGGAUUCAUAGCUACCGAGAUCUUCCUCUCAUGGUCAACCAGUGGGCAAAUGUCACAAGAUGGGAGAUGCGCACAAAACCAUUUGUGAGGACUCUUGAAUUUCUGUGGCAAGAGGGUCAUACAGCUCAUGCGACUCUAGAGGAGGCAGAAAAAGAGGCAUUACUGAUGAUUGACGUCUAUACAAAAUUUGCUUAUGCGCAAGCUGCAAUACCUGUUAUUGCAGGUCGAAAAUCAAAGGUGGAAACCUUUGCUGGUGCUGUUAGGACAUAUACAAUAGAGGCUAUGAUGGGCGAUCAGAAGGCUUUACAGGCUGGAACCAGUCACAACCUUGGUCAAAAUUUCUCUCGGGCUUUUGGAACACAGUUCACUGAUGAAAAUGGACAAAGGCAGCAUGUCUGGCAGACAUCAUGGGCCAUCAGUACCCGCUUUGUUGGUGGUAUUAUCAUGACACAUGGAGAUGAUACUGGCCUAAUGCUUCCCCCUAAAAUUGCUCCAAUACAGGUAGUGAUUGUACCGAUUUGGAAGAAAGAAAAUGAGAAAGCUGGAGUUCUCAAUGCAGC